GACAUUUUAGAAUGGAAUUUGCACACUCAUCAUCCAAGGAGCCUAUAGCAUCCGUAUGUGAGUUCUACUACCUUGCUAGCGAGACCACAUGGAGGUGUCGGUGGAAAAGAAGACGCCCCAUCAAAACAGAGAAGCGCUAAAGAAGCCCACUAGCACAAAGAAGAAUGGCCCAGUCCUUUGACGUGCUGUGCUACAGCAGCCAGCCCCAAAGAAUUCCAGAUGGGAGCAAAGCCACAACAGACACAUGAGUAAAGGAGUCCUCUCUGACCUCCUAAACUGAGUAGACACCAGGCUGAGCAAAAGCAAGCCAUCCCUAUCAUGUCCUUUCUGAAUUCCUGACCCACAGAACUGCAUGGAAAU
rnacentral:lncRNA from 1 species